rnacentral:rRNA from 1 species
GUACACGCUGUGACUAGCAUAUCAAUAAGCGGAGGAAAAGAAACUAACAAGGAUUCCCCUAGUAACGGCGAGUGAAGCGGGAAGAGCUCAAAUUUGAAAUCUUAAAGGGUUUCCCUUUACGAAUUGUAGUUUAAAGAAGUGUUUUCUGUUGAGGUUUUGGUAAAAGUUCUUUGGAAUAGGACAUCAUAGAGGGUGAGAAUCCCGUAUUUGACCUUUACUUUCAACUUUGUGAUACACUUUCAAAGAGUCGGAUUGUUUGGGAAUGCAGUCCAAAAUGGGUGGUAAAUUUCAUCUAAAGCUAAAUAUUGGCGAGAGACCGAUAGCGAACAAGUACCGUGAGGGAAAGAUGAAAAGAACUUUGAAAAGAGAGUUAAACAGUACGUGAAAUUGUCAAAAGGGAAGCGUUUGACACCAGUGUUGUUUUUCUGAAAAUCAAUUAAAGAACUGUUUAUGCUAAGUUGUUUAGACUUUAUCAGCUAACUGUUUAGUUUUGAGCUUUUCUUUAAUGCACUUUUCAGUUAACAAGUCAACAUCAAUUUCUUUUGCUGUAAAAAAGCUUGAGGAAGGUGGCUUGAGAUUCGUCUUAAGUGUUUAUAGCCUCUUGCCUAUGCAGUCGGAGAGAUUGAGGUCUGCAGCGUAGAUCCUUCGGGGCUAAAUGCAUUUGUGCUAAGUUAUAGCAUUUUAUAGACAACUUGUUGACUAUGAUUUGUCUUGUAGCAUACUCGCUUAUGUUAUUUUACCUACGCUUAGGAUGUUGAGUCGUAGAGCACGCA